UACGGAGGGGGCAAGCGUUGUUCGGAAUUACUGGGCGUAAAGGGCGCGCAGGCGGCUGCUCAAGUCAGGCGUGAAAGGCCUGGGCUCAACCCGGGAAUUGCGCUUGAGACUGGGCUGGCUUGAGUGCGGGAGAGGAUGGUGGAAUUCCAGGUGUAGCGGUGAAAUGCGUAGAUAUCUGGAGGAACACCGGUGGCGAAGGCGGCAUCCUGGACCGACACUGACACUGAGGAGCGAAAGCCAGGGGAGCAAACGGG
rnacentral:rRNA from 1 species